ensembl:lncRNA
ACAGACAAGGUGGUAUAUGGAUUAAUCAGUCUACCAACUGAUAAUUCUAUUCUAUUUGAUAAGAGUAUAGAAAGAGGAAAAAAAUGCCAAAAACAUAAAUAAUAAAUAUAAAACAUAUGCAAUAUUAAAAUAUUAUAUUGGAUUCCUCUACAAAUCAGAGUAGUGUUUUGCAUAUCAUAGCUGUACUGCUAGAAAAAAAAAGUGUUAUCAUGAUAUGAGUACAUAGGAUCCAAAUUUGCUUAUAGAGAGGGAGUUCUAGAUCACUGACAAGAGAAAAAAGUGACCUAACAAUUCCUCGAAUAGGAACAAAGUCUUAGGAAUCCCUGCUCAGAAAAACCUUAACAUACUUUCCACAACUUAUGAUUCAUUUGGCUAAUGGUUCCUUUUAGCAACUGCAAAUAGCCCUGUGUGUGUGUGUGUGUGUGUGUGUGUGUGUGUGUGUGUGUGUAGGUGAAUGUAAGGGGAAAUUAGUUUAUAGAAUAUUCACAACUUGGUGCCAAUCAUCUUAAUUAAAUCCGGGUUUUACAAAAUGUAGAUGUUGACCCACUAAUGAUUCUCCAGGAGCAAGUUUUAAAAACAGAAUGGAAUGAAUGGAAUGGAAAUGAAUAGAGUAGAAAACCAAACAAUAAUUGCAAAUGGUAUGAUAAAAUCUGAUUCAUGAAAUGCUUGUUUCAGUUAUUUUAUGUGUGUCUUUAUGUGUUUAUAUUCAGGAUGUAAAGUGUAUUUCUUAUGGUUUCUAAAAUUUUUAAAACCAGUGUAUGCAGUAGACUUCAUGCUGACAGCCACAGAACUCAGCACAAGAUAUGCUGGUGGAGAUGGAGAGGAAGAAAAAAGCACGUAAGGAAGCAGGUGUCUUUGGAGCUGAUGUCUUUUGAAGGCCAAAAGGGACCAAGGACACUGAUGACCCGAAGUUCAAAAGAUUCAGGUAAGUCUGCAAAGUCAAGUUAACUCCCUGAAUACCAUUCUGGUAGAAUUUUAUAGAGGGUCAGAGCAACUUGCAAGACAAGAAGGAUUAUGCAUUCCACAAAGCAUGUUGAGUAUAGAAUCACCGCUGUAUUCAAAGGAAGGAGUCCCUAAUGUAUCCUGGAGUAUGCUAUAAUCUAUAGGGACUGGAAAAGGUACUGUGCAAGCUUGCCUUAGAAAAUGCAUGUCUUAGUGAUGCUGUCAAAUCAAGACAUCUGUAAAAGUAGAAGAAAAUCCUCACAGCGUUUUAAGUUCAAUGAUAAUAGAGAAGUAGCUAAAGUGUAUAAUUUCAAGAUGUAAGGUUGUUUCCUAAAUAGUAAAACUGGCAUUUGAAUUCCCUCAUGUAUUAGUGCAUUAGUAGAUAAAAGCAGAUUUUAACAUUGUCUAACAAGUGUAAAUUUUUUAGCUUUAUCUCUGUAAUUAGUAACUUUAUCAUCCUUUCUGGAGAAAAACUGACUAGACAGCAAGAUAUUGUUUCUUUUAAAGCAUAACUCCAUUAAAAAUCUCAAGCGACUUGACAUAAAUUGUUAUAUAAAUGCAGAAUGUAUAUAUUGGUUUAUUAUAAACCUAUGCCAAAAAAAUUCUACACAAUUUAACUAAUACAGUUAAAUGAUAACAUUCAAUACUACUCAAAAUCACCAACUCAUAUUCCAAAUGAUGCAUUUGUUGGCAAUAUUGCAUUUGUUGGCAAUAUUCUUUAUUGGAUAUUCAAAAUAAAAUAAAUAGUAGUAUCUACA